AGUAAACCGUGGAAGGAGGGUAUUUACUUGUUGGAGAAAGUGUUUGUAUUUCUAUGGGUUGCUCGGAGUCGUUGAACAUGGAUUUGUAAUCAGAACUGGACAUUCUGUAGCUGCUUCAACACAGUGAUAUAACUGACAUGAAAAUUAAACCCGAGAGACAGAAAAGACACGAACCAUGUUUGAUAAUUUCAGAGAGAAGUUGCUGAUUGUGCAGCAGGAUUUUACAACGGGGAUCAAGACGCUGAGUGACAAGUCAAAAGAAGCAAAGAAGACGCUUAGAGACAAGUCAAAAGAAGCAAAGAUCAAGAAGAGGAUUGAGGACCAUCAACCAAAAUUUCCAGCAGGAGUGGAGCUACUUAAUAGGUAUGAAGAUACCUGGGUGACCCUUCACAAGCGAGCCAAGGAGUCUGCAAUAGCUGGCGAGGCUGUGGAUGAGGAAGUGGUGAUGCUUUCUGCGCACUGGGAGAAGAGGAGGAAUGGGCUCUUGGACCUGCAGGAACAGCUCCAGCAAAUCCCAGCCUUCCUAGCACACCUGGAAUCCAUCACUUCCAAAAUAUCCCACCUGGAGGCGGACUUUGAGGAGGUGGAGAGCCACUUGAUAAACCUUGAAGACCUGUGUGGCCAGUGUGAGCUGCAGGGCUAUAAGCAGUUCCAGAUGCUGCAGGUGGAAAACUACAAAGAGAAAAAAAGGAAAGAACUUGAAACCCUCAAAGCUGAGCUGGAUGCAGAGCAUGCUCAGAAGGUGUUUGACAUGGAAAACACUCAGCAGCUGAAGCUGAAAGAACGGCAGAAGUUUUUUGAAGAGGCUUUUCAGCAAGAUAUGGAGCAGUACUUAUCAACCGGGUACCUACAGAUAGCAGAGAGACGAGAGCCAAUAGGGAGUAUGUCUUCUAUGGAGGUGAAUGUAGACAUGCUGGAGCAGAUGGACCUCAUGGACAUGUCUGACCAGGAGGCACUAGACGUCUUUCUAAACUCAGGGGGAGAAGACAAUAGCGUGGCCUCACCAAUGCUGGGUAUGGCCCCAUUUCGCCACUAGAUGGCAGUAGAGCACUUGGGCACUGGACUACCGUCAGUAUGUUGCAGCCUACACUCUUUAACUGUUUCACUGCAAAGCAAGAUAUCUGCUCGCUAAGUACCUGUAGUUGCACCUUGUGCUUUUUUAGUGGCUGUAACAGUAUGUAUUACAGUUAUAGCAUGGGGGACACAUUAAUGGCUCAAAAGUGUUCCUAUCACCUGAAACACAGGAAGUGACCUAAUAAUGCUUUACCUGAGCUGUGUGGAAAUAAUGUUGUGGUGUUACCGGAUGUGUCUGAAAAACAGAAAGCCUUGCUUAAUUAUCCUCUCAAGCCUUAAAAAACAGUGAAAGAUGUGAUAUGAUAUGUAUGUUUCAUUACUAAAAAAAAAACAAACACAAAAAAAAAACAGCAGCGCAAUAUAGGGGAGCCACAGUAAUUCGCAGUGAAAAGGCUUGUGCUUUAAACCGGAACACCUCCUUAACCCUUUGAGUAGUACAAAAGUACCGGUACGUUCGCUGCUCUCUGGUCCCCAGGGAGUAUGAACGUACCGGUACGUUCUGCAACUUUUAACUUGAAUUACUGAGCCUACAAAACCCCUGAUCACAUAAUAUUGUAACACUAGGUUUCUGUAACACCUUUUAUUGGUCUUGUGCGCCCUCUGCCAGAUAUUGACUGAAUUACAUAUAAUAAACCCAUUCACAAAAAUGUCAACAGUGUUUGUAAACCGGCGAAAAUCGCUCAAUGAGAAAGAAGUAUUAAUAAUAAUAAUACUGAAUUCAGAUUCCGAUUUAAAUUCAAAUACAUACAAUUCUUCCACUGAAUCGGAUGUCAGCGAGUGUGUCAGUGAAGACAUAAGCGAAGAAUAUUUAUCAUCAACAUCAAGUGACAGCGAAGAGGCGGCGCCAACCUCUGUGCGUUGCUCCAUGCUUCAGCAUUAGACCAGGGGUGGGCAAUCCUGGUCCUGGAGGGCCGGUGUCCCUCCUAGCUUUUGUUCCAACUGUGCUCUAAUUUACUUAAUUAGACCAAUAAUUGGUAAUAAUCAGUACAAUUAAGUAAUUUAGAGCACAGUUGGAACAAAAGCCAGGAGGGACACCGGCCCUCCAGGACCAGGAUUGCCUACCCCUGCAUUAGACACUCUCACUCCCUCCGUCCCCACAACCUGUUUACCCGGAUAUGAUUUAUUCAUCUCUCUCUCUCUCUCUCUCGCCCUUUUUGUUUUGUUUUGUUAGGGCAUGUUGUUGUGGUUGUUCCACCGCCUUGUUUAUUGCCUACAUGUUAUUUUUUAGUCAAAACCUUUCCCUAUAACUAAAUAAAAAUAUAUAUUUAUUUGUUUUAAUUAUUUACAGUAACAAUGAAUUGUCUGUAUUUCGUCAGUAUUCAUUACAUACAGACAUAGCUUUCAGCUUGUUUGUACGCUUUACUCGUAAUAAUGAAGCGCAUGCAAAAAAAAAAAAAAUAAAUAAAAAAAAAAAAAAAACAAACUCACUCCCGUAGGACCGGCAGUGCAUUUUAGAACUCACUACUCAAAGGGUUAAAACACAGUUAGCAGCUUUAAAUGAAUGAAAUCAUUAGGUUAUUAUCAUAACCCUGGUUCCCUGAAAUAGAAAUGUCACCAUUACCGAAUGGGGAUUUACCUCCUAAAGACCCGAAAUCUGAAUAAAUAUAUCAAAGCUGCUCAGCUGAGCCUCUGUGAUGCAGUCAUGCCGGCCCUCAAGGGUAUAAAAGGACUUCACGCACAGAUCUCCACGUCAUUUUUCCUUCAAGCCUGCAGCAAUCACUGAUGCAGCAACCUUGAAGGUUAAUGGUUACAUUUAUAUUUCAGGGAACCUGUGUUAUGAUAAUAACCUAACGUUCCCUUUCAAGUACAAAAUGUAACGAUUACCGAAUGGGUGAGUGUACCCAAGCCGAGGCUGCCUUGUGCGUUACAAUUUGUGACCCCGGUAACAAGUAGCUAGGGCUAAAAAAUUGAGGGAGAAACUCACCUCUAUGUCUGUGUUGUAAGGGUCGACUGAGAAGCCGCCCUUAGCACUCCAGUUCCAAAACCAGGUAAAGAUAUGGGGAGUAGCCCACACCACUGCAUUGCAGAUGUCCUUCACAGAUGCACCCUGAAAUAAAGUUGCAAAGCUGCCAUGCCCCUGGUUGAAUGGGCAGUGGGCUUUUCUGGAGGGGGCAAGUUGGCUCAUAGGCAGUCCUGACUGUAUCCGUCAUCCAUUCGGACAGCCUCUGUUUAGACAGGCCUUGACCAUGGGACCGCCUCAUAACAGACAAAAAAUAGUUUGGACUAUUUUUUUAAAAAUGACGAUGUUGAAUGUGAUUUUCAGAUACUUUGCACAUUUCCAAUAUAUGUAUCUUAAUUAUUAGCCUUGCUCAGCACCGAGCUAGUACCAGAUAUCUUGCGAGGCCAGAGUUUCAUGGUUCUGGCUCGGCUCGGCUCGACAAGACAAAAUGACAAGUGUGAAACUAGCCGUACCGUGAGGGCUUGGCUCAGGUGUGCAAGUGAGCAGCUUUGAUAUAUUUAUUUAGGUAAAUACCCAUUCGAUAAUGGUUACAUUUCGUACUUGAAAGGGAGCUUGAUUCAGUUUAGGGUGGCUGUUUUUACAAAGAGGCAUUUUUAUUAUUUGUUUAUUUAGCAGACGCCUUUAUCCAAGGAGACUUAGAGACUAGGGUGUGUGAACUAUGCAUCAGCUGCAGUCACUUACAAUUAUGUCUCACCCAAAAGAUGGAGUACAAGGUUAAGUGACUUGCUCAGGGUCACACAGUGAGUCAGUGGCCGAGGUGGGAUUUGAACCGGGGACCUCCUGGUAUUUUUGGAGGCAGCAUGGCUUUUCGGUAGUUUAAAUGCUAGUGUUCUUUCAAAAAUUAUUUGUUCAGGAAAUAUGUAAUGUGGCUUGACGGUGUAAUUAAAGUUGCGAUCUGCUUGGCUGGACAUUUUUAAAUCGUUUGAGAUGCAGACAAAUUCAAGUCUGUAUUCUGCAUUUAUUUUUGUGUUUAACAGCACUGUAACAAGCUAUUUGGGAGCCAGAAGUUAGUGGUUAAUCUAGAAAGGUGUUAACCAUUGAGGGAAUAUUGUGUGUUUAAAAACAUACAUGGCAGAAAUAAAAUACACCAGACAAACUUUUGUUGCAGUGUGCACACUUGUGGAUUUAAGAAUUGAAAAUCUUUUAUAGACAAUACACUAUUUUAUUGACAGGAUACCAUAGUCCAUGCAUAUUUAUAAACUGUUAUACGCCUGAUCUAUGGCCAACCAGUGAGUACUGCAUUUGUUCAUAUUAUUAUUGUUUUCUGUAUGUUCUGUCAUGUGCGCCCCUGAAAUCGCAAGAAUGGCAGAAUGCAGAAGUGCAGGAUUAAAACUCUGCUUUAUUUAGGGAACCACCUGUCCUGGUUUUGAAUAUGUGUUCAUUUUGCUAUAGGUAUACAGUAAAUCAAGGUGACAUAUCGAGCCAUGUCAUUAAAGAAACAGCUGUAAUGUGUUAUUACAAUGCAUGUUACAGAUAGGGAGACAAUUAUUGGUGAUGGAUGGGUUGAAAGCCUACAUUCAAUAUACUGCAUCUACUGCCACCACAGUAAUGGGAGGCUGUAUUACAUUUUCUGUUGAGAGAAUGUGAUGCUAUGGCAGCACAUUUCUUUUUUUAUUAAAUUCCAACAAAAAAGUUUUACAUCUUAGGAACGCAUUAUAGUAUAUCAAACUCUAUAUGGUUAAUUUCUAUCUCUCUAGAGCAGGGGUCCAACCCUGGUCCUGGAGGGCCCUUAUCCAGCAGGUUUUAUAGGGGUCUUUACAUCAUCAGUGGCUAAAGAUCUGGAACACAUGUUAAUCUUGACUAAUUAAACCAAUAAUUGGUUCAAUUAAGUAAGAUUGGUUGAAACGAAAACCAGCAGUAGCUCUCCAGGACCAGGGUUGGAGACCCCUGUUCUAGAGAAAGAUAGAGAUAGACAGCUCUUUCAAAUUGCAUUUGGGUAUAAUCAGAAACGUAUUUACAAUAUUUUUUUACCUGGAUUAAAUGUACAAUAAGGACCCUCUAUCCGUGUGCACACAGGUUUAAAAUACAGUGAAGUGGUAUGAUCGAACAGUUGUCACUAUAGACAGGUGAAACCUGAGCAAAAUGUGGAUAAUGCAUAUUGCUCUUUAUAGAUAGGUGGCAAAAACAGCACAGGGACAGUUAUCAGUUAAAGGAUAGACACUUUACAGUUUACAAAUAGACAGCCUUUUUUUAAUUGACCACAUCAGUGUUUGACGCAGCCUUUCUGCUUUGCCCAGGGCCGGAGACGGAUGCAUACCCCACACAGAUUACCCUGCAGGUACCAAGCCAGGCCGAGCCAAGACACAAACUGUCCUCACUGUCCUCCACAUGCACAGAUUCAGCCAGCCAGGCCAGCGAAGCGGGGAGCGAUUCCCCCAUC